UACGUAGGGGGCAAGCGUUGUCCGGAUUCAUUGGGCGUAAAGAGCGUGUAGGCGGCCAGGUAGGUCGGUUGUGAAAACUGGAGGCUCAACCUCCAGACGUCGACGGAAACCGUAUGGCUAGAGUCCGGAAGAGGAGAGUGGAAUUCCUGGUGUAGCGGUGAAAUGCGCAGAUAUCGCUUGGAACGCCGAAGGUGAAAACAGGUUGCUGGGGAUGUGCCGACGCUGAGACACGAAAGCCAGGGGAGCAAACGGG
rnacentral:rRNA from 1 species